AGGACGAACGCUGGCGGCGUGCUUAACACAUGCAAGUCGAACGGAAAGGCCCGCUUGCGGGUACUCGAGUGGCGAACGGGUGAGUAACACGUGGGCAACCUGCCCUCAGCUUCGGGAUAACACUUGGAAACAGGUGCUAAUACCGGAUAAUAACCUUUCAUCGCAUGGUGUGGGGGUUCAAAGUUUUUCGGCUGGGGAUGGGCCCGCGGCCUAUCAGCUUGUUGGUGGGGUAAUGGCCUACCAAGGCGACGACGGGUAGCCGGCCUGAGAGGGCGACCGGCCACACUGGGACUGAGACACGGCCCAGACUCCUACGGGAGGCAGCAGUGGGGAAUAUUGCGCAAUGGGCGAAAGCCUGACGCAGCGACGCCGCGUGGGGGAUGAAGGCCUUCGGGUUGUAAACCCUUUCAGCAGGGACGAAGCGAGAGUGACGGUACCUGCAGAAGAAGCGCCGGCUAACUACGCGCCAGCAGCCGC
rnacentral:rRNA from 1 species